UACAGAGGGGGCAAGCGUUGUUCGGAAUUACUGGGCGUAAAGGGCGCGUAGGCGGCCUGCUAAGUCGAACGUGAAAUCCCUGGGCUCAACCCAGGAACUGCGUCCGAUACUGGUUGGCUUGAAUCCGGGAGAGGGAUGUGGAAUUCCAGGUGUAGCGGUGAAAUGCGUAGAUAUCAGGAGGAACACCGAUGGCGAAGGCAGCUCGCUGGGACGGUACUGACGCUGAGGCGCGAAAGCGUGGGGAGCGAACAGG
rnacentral:rRNA from 1 species